rnacentral:rRNA from 1 species
GAUGAACGCUAGCUACAGGCUUAACACAUGCAAGUCGAGGGGAAACGAUAUUGGAAGCUUGCUUCCGAUAGGCGUCGACCGGCGCACGGGUGAGUAACGCGUAUCCAACCUGCCCAUCACUUGGGGAUAACCUUGCGAAAGUAAGACUAAUACCCAAUGAUAUCCGUCGAAGGCAUCUGAAGUGGAUCAAAGAUUCAUCGGUGAUGGAUGGGGAUGCGUCUGAUUAGCUUGUUGGCGGGGUAACGGCCCACCAAGGCAACGAUCAGUAGGGGUUCUGAGAGGAAGGUCCCCCACAUUGGAACUGAGACACGGUCCAAACUCCUACGGGAGGCAGCAGUGAGGAAUAUUGGUCAAUGGACGAGAGUCUGAACCAGCCAAGUAGCGUGCAGGAUGACGGCCCUAUGGGUUGUAAACUGCUUUUAUAAGGGAAUAAAGUGGGAGUCGUGACUCCUUUUGCAUGUACCUUAUGAAUAAGGACCGGCUAAUUCCGUGCCAGCCGCCGCGGUAA